UGCAUAUCCAAAAGCGGAGGAAAAGAAACCAACAGGGAUUGCCUUAGUAACGGCGAGUGAAGCGGCAAAAGCUCAAAUUUGAAAUCUGGCACCUUCGGUGUCCGAGUUGUAAUUUGAAGAAGGUAACUUUGGAGUUGGCUCUUGUCUAUGUUCCUUGGAACAGGACGUCACAGAGGGUGAGAAUCCCGUGCGAUGAGAUGCCCAAUUCUAUGUAAAGUGCUUUCGAAGAGUCGAGUUGUUUGGGAAUGCAGCUCUAAGUGGGUGGUAAAUUCCAUCUAAAGCUAAAUAUUGGCGAGAGACCGAUAGCGAACAAGUACAGUGAUGGAAAGAUGAAAAGAACUUUGAAAAGAGAGUGAAAAAGUACGUGAAAUUGUUGAAAGGGAAGGGCUUGAGAUCAGACUUGGUAUUUUGCGAUCCUUUCCUUCUUGGUUGGGUUCCUCGCAGCUUACUGGGCCAGCAUCGGUUUGGAUGGUAGGAUAAUGACUAAGGAAUGUGGCUCUACUUCGGUGGAGUGUUAUAGCCUUGGUUGAUACUGCCUGUCUAGACCGAGGACUGCGUCUUUUGACUAGGAUGUUGGCAUAAUGAUCUUAAGCCACCCGUCUUGAAACAC
rnacentral:rRNA from 1 species